UAUCUGAAUAACAGUAAAUCAAAAAAAAUUCAUGUUAGAAUAAAAAUCAAUUAUAGAAAAAGUGACUACUAUUCCAGAUCAAACUUUUGUCUAUUAGGUUACUGAAUUUUUUUCCCUUUGAGGCAAAAAAAAAUCUAAUUUUAGAGACUCUAAUGCUAGUUUUGAUAUUCAUAGAAAUGAUUGAUUCAUUUCACAAAUACAUAUGGAACAUUUUUCGGUGUAUUCAGUGGCAAAAUUUCUGCAGGAACAAAGGCAGCACAAAGCAUCCCUCUUCCUGGCUAUUAUUACAUUUCAGAGAAAGGGAUAACCACAGGGCAAUAAGGAGCAGUCUCAUUUUGGAUGAAGUGAUGGGGUUAGCAUUAAGAAGGUAAUGAGAUAAGAAUGAAUGGACGUGCUGUGAGGCAAAAGGGGGCUGUCUUUCCAAGGAGCUAACAUAAUGUAGGCACAGGACCCAAGGAGGAGACAUUGUUCCUCCAGAGUUUUGGGGGAGGGGUGAUUAUUUGAGGCAGAGGGAAGAAGAGAGGAGAAGUUUGGAGAAGUUAUCAAGGAAGAUCAAAUGGCUGCUAUGGCUGCAGCCGAGGCUGGGAAUGGGUGGAGCGGUGAAAGCAGUAAGAACGCAGGUGAGGGCUGAUGUAACCUAACUUUCCAUUUGCUGUUUCAUUUGGGUUUGGGUUUUUUUUUUUUUUUUUAGUGAUUCCGUGUCUACUUUCAUGUCUUGGAAGACUUUCAUCAUUUCAUUCAACUAUUUGUGUGUCCAGAGUUUGCCAGAGCACUGACUCCUGUUCUUUUAAGGCCUUCGAACACAUUCAAGUUGAAGAAUGAUCAUUAAGACAAUAAUCAAGGCACCGGGAGAGUCACAUGAGUUGGAUGGGUUGAAAAGUGACUGACAGCCCAGGAAACAACAUGAGAUGAGCUUGGAACAUCCUGUACCUUAAAAGAAGGAGCCACCCAAAAGACGACAAGGGCGUGGUAACAGGACACAGACUCCACUUGAAUGGCUCCUCACUGGUUAAAUUGAAGAUAAUUUCAGAAAAACAACCAUUAACUAAUUAUGGCAAUGGCUUGUAGCCCACUGAAUACAAUGAAGAAACACAAGCUCAGGAAGAUAUCUGAAUAAAAUGGCCUUGAAAGUUUGGGUAGGAAUGGGGAUUAAUCUUGAAUUGCCUCCUUACGGAAUAUGCCUUUAUUGUAAAGACAGAGUAAUUGGAUGAUGAGAGAUCUAGGAGGUGGCAUUACUUUGAUCCGAUGACCAAUGUUGACAUCAUCAAUAGUAGAACGCAGCAAAACUACAUUCUCAUCUGCUAGGACCCACGGCAAGAAAUGCAGAAUCAUUUCUGAAUUUUCCCAACAAAGAUGACUAACCUAUCUAGUCAAACGGAACUAUCAGAUACUCCCAAUUUGUAGGCCAUUCUACAGUGUUACCCCCACCUGUAACCUUUAAAAGUGUGAAGGCCAUAAGAAUCACGACAGAAGAACAGCUCCCCAUUAAAGAACACUAAGAAGAUGUAUCAGUCAAACAGAACAUUUGACCCCAAACUGGUCUUUGAUCACAAAGCCAGUAUUAUUGGGGAUGCUGGCAACGCUUGAGUGGGGCCUAAGGGAUUAAUGGUAGCAAUGGAUUCAUGUGAAUUUCCUGACUUGUUGGGGCUAUGCUUAAGAAUGCACUUGGCUCUAGAAAAUGUUCCCCAUGUUUCUCAAAGGGCAGGCUGGCCAGUGAUAUGCCUUCCAGAUUGUUUUCAUGAAGCAAAACUACUUUUAGGGCCCGAGAGAUGGCUCAUUAGAUAAAAAGGUACUUACCCCCCCAGCCCUGCAACAGGAGUUCUGUCCCCAGGAUCCAGGCAGUGGAAAGAGAAAACUGACUCUUGGUCCUACAGGCUUGGACACACCCAACUUAGCCCACACCCACAGGAAUGCAUAAAUUUUAAAUCUUUAAAAAAUAAACCUGCCACCCCCCA